CCUACGGGAGGCUGCAGUGAGGAAUAUUGGUCAAUGGGCGCGAGCCUGAACCAGCCAAGUAGCGUGAAGGAUGACUGCCCUACGGGUUGUAAACUUCUUUUAUAAAGGAAUAAAGUGAGGCACGUGUGCCUGUUUGGAGGUACUGUAUGAAUAAGGAUCGGCUAACUCCGUGCCAGCAGCCGCGGUAAGACGGAGGAUCCGAGCGUUAUCCGGAUUUAGUGGGUUUAAAGGGAGCGUAGUUGGGUUGUGAAGUCACUUGUGGAAGUUUGCGGCUCAACCGGAAAAUUGCAAUUGAUACUGGCAGUCUUGAGUACAGUUGUGGUAGGCGGAAUUCGUGGUGUAGCGGUGAAAUGCUUAGAUAUCACGAAGAACUCCGAUUGCGAAGGCAGCUUACUAAACUGCCACUGACAUUGCUUCUCGAAAGUGUGGGUAUCAAACAGGAUUAGAUACCCUAGUAGUC
rnacentral:rRNA from 1 species